UCCUCGUUGCUUCCUUUGUUUAUGGUGUACACGCGGUGUUAGGUUGCAGUUAUGUUCUUGCUAAUCCAAUAUGAAAAUUGUUGAUCACCGUACAAUCAUCAACUACGAGCCUACUGACAUCGAUGAUUUCGACAAGAAAAGGAUCUACGAAGCUUUUUGGGACGGCAAUGAGGAGACGUGUUCCGGAUACUACAACGCACACAUCCUCCAUAUGACAGAUAAGAGAACUGCAGAAGCACUAAAAGCUGUUGGAGUCCUGCGCCACAGACACCGCCACACAUGACAGUCCCUCAUCCUGUGCCACAGAAAACCAUGAGCACCCCCAACAACACAGCCAGCAAUGCAGUGCUACAGCCUUCCAACAGCAUUGCAGUACCCAGACUAGCUUCAGCAUGUAGGUCGUUAUUCGUCAGCACAGAUGAGCCAAGCGGCUCUGUAAUGUCAGCUACACUAGCGUCGCCAGCAGCAGCUACGCCUUCUGUCUUUUGUGGGUUGCCAUCGCCCAGUGGAGAUGUGGGUGAAGUGUGUGUGGUACCUGAUGCACAAUUUCAGAUGAGUGUGGCUUCCACAUCUUGUGCGACGCCAUCUGCCAGCGAAGAUGUAUCGCGAAGCUCCAUAGUACCUCAUGCACCAGUGUCACAUGCAGUGACUGUACCUGCAGUGUCUUGUGGAGAGUUCGAUACAUAAUUUCUAGUACCAGGACAUGUUUGCGCUGGCUAUGCAAGCUGUAGUGUUCAUUUGUGUUGUGUAUUGGUAGAGCUAGGUUCAUUAAACCGAGUUUACAUCAGAACCGAUAACAUCCUGUUGUGAGUGUACACCUAGAAAAAACCUGUUGAUUUGUUAUACUGUUGCAAGUUAAAGUGACUAUGAAAAGAUCCUAAAAACAUCUGCAAGCAUAUCUAAUGCAUGCACCAUUCAUCAUGUGGA